UACGACUACAUAUCAGGCAUAUCAAUAAGCGGAGGAAAAGAAACUAACAAGGAUUCCCUUAGUAACGGCGAGUGAAGCGGGAAGAGCUCAAAUUUGAAAUCUUCAAGGUUUUACCUUGACGAAUUGUAGUUUAAAGAAGUGUUUUCUGUUGAAGUUUCGGUAAAAGUUCUUUGGAAUAGGACAUCAUAGAGGGUGAGAAUCCCGUAUUUGACCAUUUCUUCCAGCUGUGUGAUACACUUUCAAAGAGUCGGAUUGUUUGGGAAUGCAGUCCAAAAUGGGUGGUAAAUUUCAUCUAAAGCUAAAUAUUGGCGAGAGACCGAUAGCGAACAAGUACCGUGAGGGAAAGAUGAAAAGAACUUUGAAAAGAGAGUUAAACAGUACGUGAAAUUGUCAAAAGGGAAGCGUUUGACACCAGUGUUGUUUUCUCGAAAAUCAAUUAAAAAUGACCGGAUUUUGUGUUGUAUUGACUUUAUCAGCUUUCUGCACUUUUUUCUUGUCUUUUUUAAUGCACUUUUCGUUUAACAAGUCAACAUCAAUUUCUUUUGUUGUAAAAGGGUCAUUGGAAGGUGGCUUUCACUUCGGUGAAAGUGUUUAUAGCCUUUGACUUCUGCAAUCGGAGAGAUUGAGGUCUGCAGCGUAGAUCCUUCGGGGUUAGAUACAUUUGUGCUAAGUUAUAGUUUUUCAUAGACAACAUGUUGACUAUGAUUAAUCAUGUAGCUUACUCGCUUAUGCUAUUUUACCUACGCUUAGGAUGUUGACGCGCGUGUGUGCGUG
rnacentral:rRNA from 1 species